CGGAAAAUGAGCAUAGUUAACAUAGACGGGGAAAUGGGAGGUGCGGUCGAACGGGGUGCGUUCAUGUAUGUUUCAUGCAGGGCAGCACUUUACCUGGCUAAGUUAACCUCUCUCUGGGCUCGAAUUGCUGAAGAGCUAACUUAUGGACAGAUUCCUAGCAGGAUUGCUAGCUAUACAGUCAGUUACAGAUGACUAGCAAAAUGCGCUGGAGUUACGGAGACUGUGUUCUUCUCUCCUGGGCCUGUGUCUCGAACGCACACCCUCUGUCUGCAUUGCCAGAACCCACCAUGAACACAUCCCUGUCUUCAUAUUCAGGGCCUGACAGAACUAGGCUGGCAGAGGAGAGCUGCAGGUCUAGACAAGCCAGCAGAAUAGAACCCCAGAAACAUGGGAGAGGGCCUCAAACACACUUAGUGCUGGAGAUCACCCUAUGAAUGGCAGACAAGAUUGGGGACAGGUGGAGCUGAUUGGGUUGUUGAGAGGUUGCACCUGGGUUUGGGACCAACUAGAAGAUAAACGUUCCAGGUGGCCAGUCCUGGAUCGCUCUCUCCCACAAGGACCAAGGUCUGUUUUCCUUUAUUGUUUUAUACUUGGUUAUUUAAUUUAAAAAAUGUGUUACUUUUUUAAUGCCAACAUGUGGACUCACCAUCUGAGAGCCGGGUUGUGACAAAAUAUAACCUUCAACAUGCAUCCAACCCAUUUUCCUUUUAAUGAAGUGAUCACUGAUUUGGAUUGUAUUUAGAGUUUGUGUCGAUACUAUUCAUUAGAUCAACAUAUGCAUAUGUACUCGCUAUCUAAGUAUCAAUUUAUUUGACUAGUUAUUAUUGGUUAGAUCAGAGAUAUCAAACCGGUUUCAUGGAGGGCUGAGUGUCUGCUGGUUUUCGCUCUCACCUUGUACUUGAUUAAUUAAGUCACUAAUUGGUUAGUUUCUACCCUCACCUGGUUGUUUAGGUCUGAACUGGGAACCAAUUUAUAGGAAAAACCUGCAGACACUCUGCCCUCCAUGGAACCGUUUUGACACCCCUGGGUUAGAUUCUAACUGCAUUUAGUUGUAUUGGGCUUGUUCAAUGACAAAGUUGAAUCUAAUCUAUUCAAGCAGCAUAUUUCAAUUUCUGUAAGGGCAACAGUUAUAUUUUACCUCACUCAGGUGCAGGUAAUCCCCUGAGAAGUACAAGUAAAGUCCCAAAGCAUUGACAGUCUCACUAAUGUUUAACUAUUUCUGCUUGUUUAGAGGACAAAGUCAACCAUUGAAUUAAACUUAGUGUUAAGUCACAAAAUGAUUUCCAUAUCAACAAUUCCCCAGGUUUCACAUGCCCAUGCAAUACUGCUGAAACUAACAGUAAUUUAUUAUUUUCAAGUAAAAUGUAAGAAACUGGUAACUGACUGACCAUUCAUAAUUAUUCAGACCACCUAUUAAAGACCUCUAUAAGAAUCAUGUACAUUAGUCAUAAUUCAUGAAGCGACCAGUCUACACACCCACAACAACGGUUCUGUCGUGAUACAAACGGAUUAUGUAAAUAUAUUUAUUCAUCCAUGUUUUUAACACUUAUUUUCAUGUCUUCAACUUUUCUUUUAAUAAAGCAAAUAAGAA
ensembl:lncRNA